UGGGGAAUAUUGCACAAUGGGGGAAACCCUGAUGCAGCAACGCCGCGUGAAGGAUGAAGUAUUUCGGUAUGUAAACUUCUAUCAGCAGGGAAGAAAUUGACGGUACCUGACUAAGAAGCCCCGGCUAACUACGUGCCAGCAGCCGCGGUAAUACGUAGGGGGCAAGCGUUAUCCGGAUUUACUGGGUGUAAAGGGAGCGUAGGCGGCAAUGCAAGUCCGAUGUGAAAGCCCGGGGCUCAACCCCGGGACUGCAUUAGAAACUGUGUUGCUAGAGUGCAGGAGAGGUAAGUGGAAUUCCUAGUGUAGCGGUGAAAUGCGUAGAUAUUAGGAGGAACACCAGUGGCGAAGGCGACUUACUGGACUGAAACUGACGCUGAGGCUCGAAAGCGUGGGGAGCAAACAGG
rnacentral:rRNA from 2 species